rnacentral:lncRNA from 10 species
ACACUAGAGAAGAAAAAUAAGGGGGAUUUAGGCAAAAGUCACAGUUCUGUUUUUAGCAAGAUGCUCAGAUCAUUCAUAUGAUUCGGUCAGAUUGUGGCAGCCCUAAGCCACGAGAGGGGAACUCUUCAGAGGUGCCAGUAUUCAUGCUGCUAGCUGCUGUCCACUGCACCCUCUGGACAGUUUGAUAUCUACAAAGAUGGAAAGACUGUCGUUACAUUUAGGCUUUUAAAAGGUAUUUUUAGGCCCAUUAAAGGUGUAUAUAAGUUAAAAGAUCUUUAAGCCUUGAUGAGUAUGGCCUAUGCCAUAUAAUAAUUUUUCCUCAUUUAAUUUUAAGAGUGUUAGCCUGGCCUUCAGGCUGUGCUAUAAACUGCAAAAAGGUCCCCCCUCUUCUUCAUCCACAUUCCCCUUACACCUGGUAGGGCAGGGAUUCCUGCAGCAGGAAGGUCAAAGGUAAUGGACUUUUCUGCUCCUCCUGUUCUGCAGGUUUGAGCCAAUCUAGGCACGGGCUCCCUGAGCAGGGCACCCUCUGUCUCUCCACCUGAUGGGUUGAUUAGACUCACAGAGAAAGGACCGUCUUACACCUGGAAAAUCAAAAGCCAGGGGCAGCCUGAAGACACGCUGGUCAUGCCAGUACUCUAGGGGCUAGGAUUGCUGUCUCAUGACGGUGCUUGGCCCGAGAAAGCACAUGGAGAGUUUUUCGUCAAGAAGUGUUACCUCUUUUAUGGAGAUGCUCACAGACUGGGCAUUUCACUGUCCCCUGUCCCUGAGACACAGAUUCUUUUUCUGAAAUCUGGUCAAAAUAAACUGGCGAUGUUGCUGCAGCCAAGCUGGCUUACUCUGGGCAGUGCCUUUUUUCUCACGAAGAUCUGGCCUGACGGGACUCCCCCUCCCCACCUCCAACCUGAUCCUGCUGCUGGCUGUCCGCAAAGAACCUCCGACUGGCUUGCUGAAAUAAAUCAAGUGCUUAAUCCCGGUCCAUGGGACUUUGCUCUCUGUUCUGAGAGACGAUGAUCAAAGCUCAACUUCCAUGAAAUUUAGACACUGGUUUCAUUCAUAAUAAUGUCUCAUCUUGGCCAGGUGCAGUGGCUCACGCCUGUAAUCCCAGCACUUUGGGAGGCAGAGGUGGGCAGAUCACCUGAGGUCGGGAGUUUGAGACCAGCCUGACCAACAUAGAGAAACCCCAUCACUACUAAAAAAAAUACAAAAUUAGCCAGGUGUGGUGGUGCAUGCCUGUAAUCCCAGCUACUAGGGAGGCUGAGGCAGAAGAAUCACUUGAACCUGAGAGGCGGAGGUUGCAAUGAGCUGAGAUGACGCCAUUGCACUCCAGCCUGGGCGACAAAAGCAAAACUCCAUCUCAAAAAAAUAAAAUAAUGUCUCAUCUUUACCCCGGAAAUAGAUGAAUGAUGACGCCACUGUGCAGGGUGCUUCCCUUUCCACGGGGCUUAGAUGUGUGGUAAUGAAAACUACCUCCAUCACUUCUGUCUUCCCAGGACACUCUCCUGUUUGGAGAAGACAUCUGUCUUCUACUUUAAUCUCUGCUGUGCUCUGUAACUAACUCUACAGUUCUCAAGAGCACCCCCACACAGCCCUUCUUCCCAGUGAGGUGGUGGGGCGGGGUGGCCCCGCAGUGGGUGGGCUGGCCCCGCAGUGGGUGGGCUCUCACCGUCAUCAUGUCGUCGCAACUUGCGGAAGAAGUUGAAAGCCACCACAGUAUAGAGAUAAACCACCACGGCCAGGAGACCGACAGUCAGAACCAACUGGGAAUGAGAGGACAGAGAAAGGAAAAGGAGUGGGGUCUUCUCUACCUUGAAAGGUUCACAGGAGACUCUAAGAAAACGAGGAGGAAGAGUGAGGACGGGCAAGGAGAGGAAAUGGGGAAGGGGUGGAGGGCGGCUAAGAAAGCUAUCAGGCCAUGAGCAGAGGAGGAAAGAUGGCACCACAGGUAAAGAGAAGCGGGCUUCCUGGCAGAAAAGAGUAAUGAUGGGGUGUUGGGGGCUGAAUUGUGUCCCUUCAAAUUCAUAUGCUGAGGUCCUGGCCUCCAGUACCUCAGAAUGUGACUGUAUUUGGAGAUGGAGAUACAGCCUUCAAAGAGGUGAGUAAGUUAAACUGAGGUUGUUAAGAUGGGCCCGCAACCAAUCUCACCGGCAUCCUUAGAAGAAAAGGAGUUGGAGACACAGAGAGAGAGGCUAGACACAGGCACACGUGAAGGGACGGUCAGGGGAAGCGGCAGCGAGAGGGUGCUGUCUACAGCCACAGAGAGGCCCCUGAGGAGACCAGGUGCUGGUGCUGCCAGCACCAUGAUACUGGACUUACUUACCGCCUCCAGAACUGUCGAAAAGACAUUUCUGUUGUUUAACAAAAUAGCAGUCUGUAGUACUUCGUUCUGGCAGCCCAAGCAGACUAAUGUAUAGGGCAUUAGAUUGGGCGUAAGUAAAAUAUAAAGGAACUUAAGUAUUGAAUAGUGCAGGUGCUGUGAGGAGGGAUACAUUGUGUUUUGUUAUUGUUCAUACAGAGCUAGCUGUUACCUGAGGCUUCACAAUGUAGCUUCUACUCUAAUGCUGCUGCUUAAAAAACCCCAGGCCGGGCAUGGGGUGGCUCACGCCUGUAAUCCCAGCACUUUAGGAGGCCGAGGCGGGCGGAUCACGAGGUCAGGAGGUCGAGAUCAGCCUGGCCAACAUGGUGAAACCCUGUCUCUACUAAAAAUACAAAAAUUAGCUUGGCGUGGUGGUGUGUGCCUGUAAUCCCACCUACUUGGGAGGCUGAGGCAGGAGAAUCGCUUGAACCCAGGAGUCGGAGGUUGCAGUAAGCUGAGAUCGCGCCACUGCACUUCAGCCUUGUGGCAGAGUGAGACUCCGUCUCAAAAAAACAAACAAACAAACAAACAAAAAACCCAAAGGUUCUUUGGACUGGUGGAUAUCCCUACCUUAUACUAUUUCAUAAAUAAUCAUGCACUGGAUAAUUGUCACAACUUUGAAGUUACUCUAAGAAUUAUGAUGGUGGAGCUGAGUCACACUUUUUAUUACAGAGAAUUCUGCCCAGGCCCUUUGCAGUGUCCUAGGGCACGCUUACUUCCAGGCUUUAGGAGUGAGAGUUCACUGGCUUAAGUGAGGAGUACACAGGACCUGCACAUCUGACCUCUCUCAAGGACUAGGCAUUGAGCUGGGAGAUAGGAAGAUCAACAGGAUCAGAGCUUUGCCUUCAAGGAGCCACACAAAAGGGAGUGGGUAAGUGUGAAGAUCAGCACCAGAGGAAAUGUAUUCAGCAGACUUGAGGGAAGAAUAGUGACUCAAACCUUGGAGAGCAGACCUCACAGAAAGCAGGUGGUUUAGGAAAAAAAAGAGAAAGAACUUGGACUUUGCAUCAGGGAAGAAAAGGGGGUGAAUCUACGCUCUGCCACUUAGCAGCUGUGUGGUCUUGGGUGAGACAUUUAGCUGCUCUGAGCCUCAGUUCUCUUAUCUGUAAAGUGAGCUUAACGUGUGCCUUACCAGGUAGUUGUGAGGCUGUCACAGUAACUGGGACACGGCAUGAGCUUGGCACACUGUAACUUCCGUCUUUUCUCCCUCUCCCGUACAAAGGUUUGGACAUGUGAGGAAGCCUGUCUGUCAUACACAGACUUGUACUUAAUGAGGAAUGAAAUGCUAAACAGUUUGAAUCUGUAUACAAGGAGAAGCCAUUAGAAGAUUUUAAUAUGGUUAUAGCCGUUGCUAUAUCCAGUCUCAUCAAUAUCCAGUCUUCCA